CCUACGGGUGGCAGCAGUGGGGAAUAUUGCACAAUGGGGGAAACCCUGAUGCAGCGACGCCGCGUGAGCGAGGAAGUCUUUCGGUAUGUAAAGCUCUAUCAGCAGGGACGAAAAAAGACGGUACCUGACUAAGAAGCCACGGCUAACUACGGGCCAGCAGCCGCGGUAAUACGGAGGGGGCGAGCGUUAUCCGGAUUUACUGGGUGUAAAGGGAGCGUAGACGGUGCAGCAAGUCUGAGGGGAAAGGUCGGGGCCCAACCCCGGGACCGCCUUGGAAACUGUUGCACUGGAGUAGAGGAGAGGUAAGCGGAAUUCCGAGUGUAGCGGUGAAAUGCGUAGAUAUUAGGAGGAACACCAGUGGCGAAGGCGGCUUACUGGACUGUAACUGACGUUGAGGCUCGAAAGCGUGGGGAGCAAACAGGAUUAGAUACCCGAGUAGUC
rnacentral:rRNA from 1 species